rnacentral:rRNA from 1 species
UGGGGAAUUUUGGACAAUGGGGGAAACCCUGAUCCAGCCAUCCCGCGUGUGCGAUGAAGGCCUUCGGGUUGUAAAGCACUUUUGGCAGGAAAGAAACGUCAUGGGUUAAUACCCCGUGAAACUGACGGUACCUGCAGAAUAAGCACCGGCUAACUACGUGCCAGCAGCCGCGGUAAUACGUAGGGUGCAAGCGUUAAUCGGAAUUACUGGGCGUAAAGCGUGCGCAGGCGGUUCGGAAAGAAAGAUGUGAAAUCCCAGAGCUCAACUUUGGAACUGCAUUUUUAACUACCGGGCUAGAGUGUGUCAGGGGGAGGUGGAAUUGCGAGUGUAGCAGUGAAAUGCGUAGAUGUGCGGAAGAACGCCGAUGGGGAAGGCAGCCUCCUGGGAUAACACUGACGCUCAUGCACGAAAGCGUGGGGAGCAGACAGG